rnacentral:rRNA from 1 species
GAUGAACGCUGGCGGCGUGCCUAAUACAUGCAAGUCGAGCGAACAGACGAGGAGCUUACUCCUCUGACGUUAGCGGCGGACGGGUGAGUAACACGUGGAUAACCUACCUAUAAGACUGGGAUAACUUCGGGAAACCUGAGCUAAUACCGGAUAACAUGUUGAACCGCAUGGUUCAACAGUGAAAGACGGUCUUGCUGUCACUUAUAGAUGGAUCCGCGUCGCAUUAGCUAGUUGGUAAGGUAACGGCUUACCAAGGCAACGAUGCGUAGCCGACCUGAGAGGGUGAUCGGCCACACUGGAACUGAGACACGGUCCAGACUCCUACGGGAGGCAGCAGUAGGGAAUCUUCCGCAAAGGGCGAAAGCCUGACGGAGCCACGCCGCGUGAGUGAAGAAGGUCUUCGGAUCGUAAAGCUCUGUUAUUAGGGAAGAACAAAUGUGUAAGUAAAUAUGCACGUCUUGACGGUACCUAAUCAGAAAGCCACGGCUAACUACGUG